rnacentral:rRNA from 1 species
UACAGAGGGUGCAAGCGUUGUUCGGAAUCAUUGGGCGUAAAGCGCACGUAGGCGGUUCGCUAAGUUUGGUGUGAAAUCCCGGAGCUUAACUCCGGAAGUGCACUGAAUACUGGCAAACUAGAGGACGAGAGAGGAUGGUGGAAUUCCUGGUGUAGGGGUGAAAUCCGUAGAUAUCAGGAGGAACAUCAGUGGCGAAGGCGGCCAUCUGGCUCGUUUCUGACGCUCAGGUGCGAAAGCGUGGGGAGCAAACAGG